rnacentral:rRNA from 1 species
GGGAGGCAGCAGUAGGGAAUCUUCCGCAAUGGACGAAAGUCUGACGGAGCAACGCCGCGUGAGUGAUGAAGGCUUUCGGGUCGUAAAACUCUGUUGUUAGGGACGAACAAGUGCUAGUUGAAUAAGCUGGCACCUUGACGGUACCUAACCAGAAAGCCACGGCUAACUACGUGCCAGCAGCCGCGGUAAU